rnacentral:rRNA from 1 species
GAUGAACGCUAGCUACAGGCUUAACACAUGCAAGUCGAGGGGUAGCAGGGUAGCAAUACCGCUGACGACCGGCGCACGGGUGAGUAACACGUAUCCAACCUUCCCAUAACUCGGGGAUAGCCUUUCGAAAGAAAGAUUAAUACCCGAUAGUACUUAAGAAAGGCAUCUUUUUUAAGUUAAAGAUUUAUUGGUUAUGGAUGGGGAUGCGUUCCAUUAGAUAGUUGGUGAGGUAACGGCUCACCAAGUCUUCGAUGGAUAGGGGUUCUGAGAGGAAGGUCCCCCACAUUGGUACUGAGACACGGACCAAACUCCUACGGGAGGCAGCAGUGAGGAAUAUUGGUCAAUGGGCGAGAGCCUGAACCAGCCAAGUAGCGUGAAGGAUGAAGGUCCUAUGGAUUGUAAACUUCUUUUAUAGUAGAAUAAAGUGAUCCACGUGUGGAUUUUUGUAUGUAUACUAUGAAUAAGGAUCGGCUAACUCCGUG